GAGGUGCGCCGCCGCCGGCGCGGCGCCACACCGCCAUAUUGAAUUUUCCGCCGAAAAGUUUGCCGCUAUUUUUUUAAAUGACAACAACAAAGAAAAUGAAAAAUCAACCACACCCAUAAACUAAACAUGAAACGCUGGAUACAAGAUAUUAAAUCCUCUCUGGGACAACAAUACUAAAACUACCAUCAGACCACCUACCUUACCUACCUACUAACUAGAAGGAUAAUGGAAAUAAGAUACAGAAAUGAAAUCAAGCAAUUGUGUAUAUUGGUGUCAGAAAAAUUACUCAACCAGUGUGUGUUGUGUGUGUUAUUCACCCAAAUAAAGUUUUACGUCCAUAAAAUUUCUUUCUUCUUUCAUAAAAAGUAAUAGUAUAGUAGUAAGUAUAUAUAAGUAUAAGUUUCUUAAAGUCAGGCAUAUUUUUCAGAUAAAAGGUAACCUAGGUGUAACUUGUUUUUUCCUGUAACAAAAUAGGUAGUUAAAUAUUUGAGCUAUGUAGAUACCACUUUAAGUAAAAUAUUCUUACAAGUUGAAAGGGAGAGAGUAGAGAGUUAGAUAGGUACACAGGUAGGUGAGUUAAGGUUAAGGUGUUCCUCAUGUAUGUAGAGCCGGUCCGUUUGGAAGAGGAAAGCCGAGGUGUUACGGCUAGUGUAAUUCCUGAAGUAGAUCAGUAGGUGUGUUGAUUAAUUAUUAGAUCUAGAACAAUAACUUAAGUUGUUUUUAAGCAUCCCGGUUCAUGCCUACCUUGUCAGUAACACGUUUUUCAGUCAUUCAGUCCAAAGAUCAGAAAUAAUAAUAUGACAAAACAGAGUCACUUUCACAUCGUAGUUUCGUAAAAAAUAUUAAUUUAGCGUCGUUGCAAUUAGCUUUACAUGCUUAAACAACACAUCAGCUCUAAGUUAAAUCCAUAUUUAUGCACCUACAACAACAAUUUCCCAUAUAUUUCACGGUUUUACUUUUAGAAAUUUUUGUGUAAUUUUAACAGGCACCUGUUUAGACCCCUUUUAAAUUUAGGAAGAAAGUUGCUAAUUUUAAGUUGACAGCGCUAAAAAUGGCACCUUCAGAAUACCAAUUCGACCAUCUAACCUAAGUUGAAUAGUUUUAACGCUGUCAGAUUCAAAAUUUAAAGUGACGUCUCUAAU